rnacentral:rRNA from 1 species
CAGUCGCCGCGGUAAUACAGAGGGUGCGAGCGUUAAUCGGAUUUACUGGGCGUUAAGCGUGCGUAGGCGGCUUCUUAAGUCGGAUGUGAAAUCCCUGAGCUUAACUUAGGAAUUGCAUUCGAUACUGGGAAGCUAGAGUAUGGGAGAGGAUGGUAGAAUUCCAGGUGUAGCGGUGAAAUGCGUAGAGAUCUGGAGGAAUACCGGUGGCGAAGGCGGCCCCCUGGACAAAGACUGACGCUCAGGUGCGAAAGCGUGGGGAGCAAACAGGAUUAGAUACCCGAGUAGUCCCUGUCUCUUAUAA